rnacentral:misc_RNA from 1 species
UGCGUUUUCUUCACUCCACUCUUAACCUGUCGGCCUUUUAAAUGCCUAUAAUCUCCCUUCACUGCAGAGAGUCCAAGUAUACACCAUAUAGUUUUUGAUUCUCUUUUUCUCUACAGCCUAUAGCUAUCUAUAGCCAAGGUACAGCAAUGGAACCAAGUUCCACUCUCGUAGCCAAGAAACUAUCUAGCAUGAUACGCGUAGCUCUCUUCAUGAUCCAAAAGGGUAUCUCUAAGAGCAAACUCAUGCUUGAUCUCCACCUCAUUAUGAAACGUGGAAAGAUCUUGGGAAAGGCCUUGAACGAUCUCAUACUAGAACAUCAAACUGCUCUUAGCUGUCGAUCGCAUGACUUACAUAUGUCAUUCGUAUCUCCUGCAGUAGCAGUGGGCUGUAGACCACAUGAUGUGCAUAUGUCAUUUGUAUCUCCUCGAGAGUACGAGUUCAGUUGCAGUAGCAGUCCAAGUUAUCGACCCUACAACCGUUUCCAAGCCAACGGGCGCAGAACCCAUUCUAAUCAGCGCAAACACAAGGGAUAUUACCAACACACACGCUACAACGCGCCACCGUAUACGUGGAAUGAUGUGGAGUCAGAGGGUGGCGAUGUGACAGAGGGAUCUGUUAAUUUGGCGGGUGGGGGAUUUGGGUGGAGCCCGCUUGUGAGACAGGUUAGGAUAACAGACUCACCAUUCUCUCUAAGGGAUUCUAAUGAUCGUGAAGAUUGCGUAGUGGACAUAGAAGCAGAGAAAUUUAUCGACAGGUUUUACAGGGAGUUGAGGUUACAGAAGAGAGUAGCCGCACGUGAAGCAGCUAAUAACAUGAUUUGAAGCUUCUAUUAUGGUGGCCUAGCGUGGCUUGUUUGUGUCUAAUCGUAUAUCACUCACAUGGCAGAUUUAGGUUUCAUUCUCCACUCCCCUCUUCUG